CCUGCCUAAAUGACUACCGACCCGUAGCACUCACGUCUGUAGCCAUGAAGUGCUUUGAAAGGCUGGUCAUGGCUCACAUCAACACCAUCAUCCCAGAAACCCUAGACCCAGUUAAUUUGCAUAAUGCCCUAACAGAUUCACAGAUGAUGCCGUCUCUAUUGCACCUAUGUGAGAAUGCUAUUCAUUGACUACAGCUCAGCGUUCAACCAUAGUGCCCUCAAAGCUCAUCAAUAAGCUAAGGACCCUGGGACUAAACACCUCCCUCUGCAACUGGAUCCUGGACUUCCUGAUGGGCCAACCCCCGGUGGUAAGGGUAGGUAACAACACAUCUGCCAUGCUGAUCCUCAACACAGGGGCCCCUCAGGGGUGCGUGCUCAGCCCCCUCCUGUACUCCCUGUUCACUCGUGACUGCACGGCCAGGCCCGACUCCAACACCAUCAUAAAAUUUGACGAUGACACAACAGUGGUAGGCCUGAUCACCUACAACACCGAGACAGCCUAUAGGGAGGAGGUCAGAGACCUGGCCGUGUGGUGCUAGGACAAGAACCUCUCCCUCAAAGUGAUCAAGACUAAGGAGAUGAUUGUGGACUAGAGGAAAAAGAGGACAGAGCACGCCCCUAUUCUCAUUGACCGGGGCUGCAGUGGAGCAGGUUGAGAGCUUCAAGUUCCUUGGUGUCCACAUCACCAACAAACUAACAUGGUCCAAGCACACCAUAACAGUCGUGAAGCGAGCACAACAAAACCUAUUCCCCCUCAGGAGACUGAAAAGAUUUGGCAUGGGUCCUCAGAUCAUCAAAAUGUUCUACAGCUGCACCAUCGAGAGCAUUCUGACUGGUUGCAUCACUGCCUGGUAUGGCAACUGCUCGGCCUCCGACCGCAAGGCACUACAGAGGGUAGUGCGAACGGCCUAGUACAUCACUGGGGCCAAGCUUCCUGCCAUCCAGGACCACUAUACCAGGUGGUGUCAGAGGAAGGCCCUGAAAAUUGUCAAAGACUCCAGACACCCUAGUCAUAGACUGUUCUCUCUGCUACCACACGGCAAGCGGUACCGGAAUGCCAAGUCUAGGUUUAAGAGGCUUCUAAACAGUUUCUACCCCCAAGCCAUAAGACUCCUGAACAUCUAGUCAAAUGGCGACCCAGACUAUUCACAUUGCCCCCCCCCGGGGCCAACUCUCUGUUGUCAUCUAUGCAUAGUCACUUUAAUUAACUCUACCUAAAUGUACAUACUACCUCAACUAACCGGUGCCCCCGCACAUUGACUCUGUACCGGCACCCCCCUGUAUAUAUUGUUAUUUUUUACUGAUAUUCUUUAAUUAGUUUUUACUUUUAUCUCUUAUUCUGAUCCGUAUUUUUUGAAACUGCAAUGUCGGUUAGGGGCUCGUAAGUAAGCAUUUCACUGUAAGGUCUACACCUGUUGUAUUCGGCGCAUGUGACUAAUACAAUUUGAUUUGAUGUUAUACAAACAGACAAAGUCAUGGACAAGAUACACACUAGUGCACAAAUGACCACACACAUUCACGAAGAUAUACAGUUACAGACACUGUCCACCAUAAAAACUGGAUGGUUCUCUCCAUUGACUUAUACAAUAUAACUAUUGGUUAUCUCUCUCACCCUGGACUCAGUACUAGGUAGGCUGAGGGUUCUCUCCAGAAUUGGGUUGCCAGGUGGGGCUGUUCCCCAAUGCUCGAAAGUUUGGGAACCCCUGCUCAAAGGUCAGACGACCUGGCAACCCACAUGUUGUACUCUGCUCAGACCACUCACUGUGACUCAUGUCCUGAUUGACUAGGAGGAUGUGGAAGAGACAUGUCAAAGUGAGGGCCACACAUGUUGGACUUUCAGAGGACCGAACCGUCUGUUAAUUUUUGUCAAUUAGGCUAGCUAUGUGGGUGAUGAAAUUGCAUUUUCCUGGCUUUGGCCAACCUGACCUGCACCAGUAAACAUGUCGAUUGACAAUUAUAAGCUAAGUUAGCGUUACCAUAAUUUGUUCUCCCAAACUUUUCAAACGUAUCUCCCGUUACCAUAAUUUGUUCUCCCAAACUUUUCAAACGUAUCUCCGUCGAUCACAAUUGAUUCCUUAAAGUGGCCACAUCUAGAAGAUCCUCAUCGUUGUUAAACAUUGGUGGCUAUUAUUUUACACACGCUAGCUAGCUAACGUUAGCCUGCUUACAUCAAUCAACAGGUUGCUAGGGUUUAUGUUAAUUAGCUAACUGAAGCUAUAGCAACU
rnacentral:lncRNA from 1 species